CAGAAUCCACUGGACUUUUUCACAUGUUGGGAGGACUGGGGAUUGAUAGAACAUUGCUUUUAAUUCACACAAACACUAAAUAUGUCUGGAUUACCAGCCCUUUUACCAUGGACUUUUUAAAAUAUUAAAGGGAUUAAGGGCUGUGGAACACUACACUGGCUGCUGGGGGAGCCCCUGGUCAAUGGGAGUUGCCUAGAAUUCUCCAGUGCAACCACCCCCACACUGUCCAUAGCUCUUAUCUCCUUAAAGAUCAUCAGCUGGUGCUGGUGAACAUCGCUGGGACAGACCGUUCAUAAUGGGAAGACCUGGCAGCACGUAUUCGCUCUGAAUAAGGGUGUCUGCUAAAUGCCACAAAUGUAAUUGUAAAUGUAUGGGACUACGGUCCCUGCGCAUCACUAACCAGCUCCUACAUCGCUGGAGGUCCACACUAAGAGCAGAGGAGCGUGUUCAACUGAAGGACUACAAAAUUGGUGAGACUGGUUUUACAGAGGAGGAACCUUUUCCCCAGCUGGACAUCGCCAAUAACCUCGACGGGUGUGGAGGUUCCCCUCCUGUAGUGCAGGGGUGAAGGGCAGAUGAACUUUGGGACAGUGACGGGGAAGCUGCUCUACAGGGACUGUGUUAAGGUUUUAAAUAAGAAUAAACUGAGUGGGAGGGUGGACCCCCAGUGGAGACAUGUUCUUGGUUUUAAUCAUGAUAUUAUGAUGAUAUAUAAACUGUUGACCUCCAAUGGAGGAUUUUACACUGUAUCAUCUCUGUGAACUCUUUUAUUUCUGUUUUAAACCCUGAUGUUCUACAGGACGGUCCGUUCUGGUCACAGAGAGAAACUGGUUUUCACACUUUUACUCACUGCUUCAGGUUACAGUCACUGUUUCUGCUUUUAAAACGUAUUUAAAGUUCCUUUAAUGUGAUUUUACUCUUCAGUGUUUUAUUCUUGGUUUUAAGUACGUCAGGAGAAACAGGUUCAUGUGUAACUGAUGUAUUUUUGGGGAGGAGAAAAUGGCCACAUAGCUGAUCAGAGUUGAUGUUAAUGUGUAUGAGUGUGAGGGAGGUAAGGAUGUUUGAGAUUGUGUGGUGUUGUGGAGAAACUCUGUGUUCUGUGAGAGAUGAAGAAUUGUAUUUGCACCAGAAUUGAACUAAAUAAUCACACGCCCCUCCCCCGACAUUUAACUGUCAUUACCUGAUUUUAUUUGGCUAUUUAUCAUAUUACUUUUUUAUUAUUUACUUAUUUAUUUACUUAUUUAUAUAUUUAGACAAAUAAAAUCUGAUAUUAUCUGGCAUUAAACAUGAUUGUCAAAUCUAGAGUUAGGGUUUUUCUCUUGUAAAAAGUAAAAAAAAAGGUGUCUCUCUCUCUCUCUUUCUCUCUCUCUCUCUCUCUCUCUCUCUCGCACUGAGUUCCUCUCAGAGAGAAAGAGAAAGAAUAAAGUUAUCAUUUGGAGCCUGUAGGUGGACCAGACCGUGAGUGAUGACCAGCUGUUUGUGUUUUUGUAAAGUGCUCUUUUGUGUUAUUAAUUCUUGAAGAACUGUUUAGUGUCUGAUUCUGAAUGGCAGUGAUGUUGAACAGCAGCAGUACUACAACAUUCAGCCCUGAAUUAAAUUCUACAACUGAAU